rnacentral:rRNA from 1 species
AAACUUUCAACAACGGAUCUCUUGGCUCUGGCAUCGAUGAAGNACGCAGCGAAAUGCGAUAAGUAAUGUGAAUUGCAGAAUCUAGUGAAUCAUCGAAUCUUUGAACGCACAUUGCGCCCCUUGGUAUUCCGAGGGGCAUGCCUGUUCGAGCGUC